AGAGAUACCAAGACUUAACAAUUUUGCAAACACAUGAGCAUAGAGGAUUAUUAUUACUCAUUUGUAAGUAGACUUAAUCUUCUCUUUCCAUCUGUCGCUGUAGAUUGUGUCAGUCCUCUGAGCAUCCACUGAACGUUUCAAGGAGAGUUGUUUAUGAAGUGUGAUCCCAGCAGAUCCUGCGCAAGAGCAAGAAGAUCAUCAAAUCAGCGUGUCCCUAGGCCAACUAUAACUUAUGAAGUACCACAAUCAGAUGGGAGUAUCCUUAAGUUGAGGUGAGUAUUCUGAGUGGGUAUUUACUUAAGGAAGAGUAGAGUUUGCUUUAUGACUUUUCUUGAAUUUGCCUUCUUCAAAGCCAACGAAUUUAUCAGGAUGAAUAUUUGUAAACACAGCAGACAACAGAGAAUAUUUAUGGAAAGUGAAUUUGAAACUCAAGCUUGAAUAUUAAUGCUGGAAAGCAGAGUAUAUCAGUGUUUGUUUUCUAACCAAUGAAGCUAUAGGGAGCAUCGCACUGCAACUUAAACAUUCCUAUGUGCAGCAAUCCUGAAUCCCUCUGUGAAAUGGGAUAGCGAAUGGUAGCAUGUAACCGCUCAUAAACCAUGGACGUUAUUUUAUAGGGCAAGUAAUUAUAUACGGAUACUGUCAACUAAAUCAUGUACUUUGAUAACUUUGUAUGACCCAGGGAACUUGAG
rnacentral:lncRNA from 1 species